AUCCAGCGUCCACUGGAGAGACAUCUAAAAGAAAGAAAUAUACGGCAGGUUGAGGAGGACAAAGUCAGAAGAAGCAAUGAAUUCCACUGUAGAAUUUUGGACCUCUGGACGUUUGUGCGGCUCUCCAGAAGGUCGUUUCAGAGGAUUCUACAUCAAUUCUUCAGGAACUACAAAACAAAGUUUCCAAAAUGUAUGUUUGCCACCAAACCCAAACCAUUAUGGAAUCUAAACUAAUGCAGACCUUGCAAUUAAAGAAAACUAAUUCAGAUUAGGAUAUGUAACAUUUCAAGUAUCCUACGUAACAUCAAAGGUAGA